UCUCCGGGUAGCGGUCGACUGCGACGAUAACGACGAGUAAAAUCGUGCGGUGUGCAAAAGUCGCGUUGAAUAUAAUAUCAUAUUUAUAGUUUACGGUCGUUGCAAAAAUCGAAUGAUGCGUUUCUCGUUAGCGUUCGCAGUUUUGUUCGUGGCUGUGGCUGCAGUGUCUGCCGGGGUUUAUCCGGUGAAAACAGGCGGCGGCAAAGGCGCGUCGAAACAUUCGAAGGGUGGUGGUCAUGACAACGCAGAGGACGACCGUUUUCAUAUGCAGUCGGCCGACGGACAGUACGUUUUCGGGCACACCACCGGAACCCAGGGUCGAGCCGAAAUACGCAACAAAGACGGUACGGUGACCGGAUACUACAGUUACGUGGGCGAUAACGGUAAAGUGGUCUACGUCAAUUACGUGGCAGAUCAGAAAGGAUACAGAGUGUUGUCCAACACCGGUGUGCCGUCGGCUUCGGUCACCAUAGAAGGCGAUGCCGGAACCAAAGGUCCUCGUGCCGAAAAGGAUUUUUUACAAGUUUUUACGGACUUCACGAAACGCAUUAAGGACAAAGUCGUAAAACAGGCCGGACAAGAAACCGUGGACCUCGGUGACGGUCAACAUCAAAUCGACGUCAUUGAUCCCGCUUCAGUUUAUCCGACUAAAGAGAUAAAAUCUAUAAGUAACAAAGAAACAGACCAGUUUCCGGAUUGGAAUCGAGUAAAGAUUCCUUCAACCCAAAAACCAACAGUGAGCAUUGACGGAAUUGAAAUCACCGAAGGACAACAGCAACAAGGAACAGUAGAUCCUAAUUUGGAUAACGUAACAACUCAAAAAGUAAAUAUUAAAGGAUAUGAUAACGAUAUUCAAGGAUCUAAUAACUACGAUUGGGAUGGCGCAGUUAUAACUACAGAAACGGCUAUGAAAAAUAUCCCAUCAUAUCCCAAUCAGCCCCAAGUUCCCACUAAAGGGGAUCGAAAAGAAGAAUAUGCUGACACAACUACAGUUCACGAAGUAUACGUCCAAGAAAUCACGACUGAAAUCGGUAACUCCAAAGUCAUUACGGAGUCCCCCGUGUUCACUAAUGAUGCGGAAAACAAUUCACCAAUUUCAAAACCCGCGGAGUCAAUUGUUGUCAACGAUGCCCAGACAACAAUAUCUUAUUAUGAUGUCUCCGGAAAACCGGCGGAAGGAAGAAUGAUCAACCGAGAAGAUAUCCAGCUGACAACAAUGGGCGGAGUGAGGCAAUUCGAAGAGUCUUCGACUGUGGCGGCGGAGAUAUCGGAAAGCGUCACGACUAAUAACCAAAUCGUUCAGGAAAUCCAAGAAAAAAUCAAGACGCCACUUGAAACGGAUGUAGUACUGACAACCGGCAAACCGCUCGAUAAAGAAUCGUCCGACAACGUUCCCGUAGUCACCGAAAACCCAAGUGAUCGAAUCGAUUUAAAAAUUGCCGACGCCGAAUUCACGACGAUCACGACUGCGGUCGACGAAAAAAUGACGGUAAAUACUCGUGUGAACACCGCUUCGCCUGCAGAGUACGAACCCAAGACAACCACGUUCCAGCCCGAUGUCAAAACGAGUGACAUGGAGACCACGACGACCGGCAUUCAGUACGUGACCGAAGCGAACAGGGACGACGGUUUUGACUUCAAAACGCUCGAGCAGAGCGACGUGAUCGGGACGACGAGCAUACCGAACCGCGGACAAUCUGAGGCGCAAGAGGUGCAAGAUAUCGCGUGGCCGGAAAUACCUGCAGUGCCCGCAGUACCGCAAGUUUUGGUACCCCUGAAUCCGUAUCCCGAGAAUUCGGGCGUCAAAAACGCAGUCGUCAAAUCUCAUUCGGCCAACUCGAGACUGGUAAUGUAGUUAAUUGCGUUUGAAACACGAAAAGAAAAAAAAAAGUACAUUCAUAAAUGCGUGUGAGAAAUUUCAACUUAAACGUAGACGACGCAAAGUCCUCGACGGUCAACUCCUUGGAAGAAAUCAAAACGACAAUGCCGACCAAUGUAU
rnacentral:misc_RNA from 1 species